UCGCUGAGCCACAGUUCUAUUUGGUGGAUUUCCCGGCUUGCAGUUUGGUCUCAGUUUUAGAACAAUAAGUCAGACCCACGUUGAUUUGCUAUUAAUUGGUUUUAUUCAGCAGCCUCUUUUGAAUUAAUCUUCAGUUCGCGUAGUUGUCGGCAGCAUAUAAAAAUUGACGGAUUAAUAUCACGUAUUCACGUAUUAAUCAUAAAAAAAGUGAAAAACUAGAUUUGUGGAUACUAAAGUGAUUGAAUUUAUUAAUAUAACAAUAUGGUUACCCAAGUUUUUGUCACAUUAAAGUAAUCGUAAUAAGAUCAGGAAAUUUGUCAACUAUAAUAGCAAGUCACCUUGAUAAAUAUCUCAUGAACUGAAUUUUACUCACUGUAAUAAUAAGAUCACAAAACUGCCAUUAAAACAGUAACUUCACCUUGUUGGAUAAGCUUUAAUCGUUACAAGACUUAUAGCGAUAAAAUCUAGUGACUUUACUGUAUAAAGAGUAUAGUAACUUUACCCUUAUAAUGUGUAAAGUUUACUUGAUUUAUUGUAACAAAAAGUACCUUUCCUAAUUUUAAUAUUAGUGACCCGUAGCGUCCUUGAUGAUUGCGUCAUUGUGCCUGGUCUUCGGGAACGCGGACACAGGUGGUGCAUGGCUUUUUUCGCCCUCAUGUCGCCACACGGGGGAAUUGUGACCUCUUGGGAGAAUCGAUGACUGCAUACAGAGGAUGCCAGUGUUAUCCGGAAUGAUUGGGCGUAAAGCGUCUGUAUUCUGGUGUCCUAGGCGUAGAGGAACCACACCAAUCCAUCCCGAACUUGGUAGAUUGAUUUUCCAAUCUCCAUUUUGCAAGUUGGUUAUUACGGGUAGUUUCUAUCUUCUUUUUUUACCAGAAAAACCCGAACUAUAUAAAUAGCCUCAGAGCUAUGGAACAAAGGAUUAUCUCAUUUUUUUAACGCCCUUCCUCGUCUCUGGAUGCCUAGGGAUCUACCGUAUGUAUAUGGGUACAAUUAUCUCUGGGGAAAGUGAUACCAUGAGCGCUUUAGGGCGCAAAAUAAAAUCUAUUCCAAACAUAUAUGCCAUGGUUCAUUACUUUAUAUUUUUGUAGGUUAUGUGUGGCUGAGCCGCUGAAGUUCCUUCUAUAAGUUUGUAGGUUGGGAGUUCUGAGGUCAUUACAGUGAUAUAUGUAAAAUUUUGCACAAAUAACACCGGACUAUUAUCACAAUGCAACUUACUGUGGUGAUUUUAAGAUUUUACUUUUUUGUUUCAAACUAUUUUCGAGCGGUAUCAACCGACAUUGUGCAUUUAGAAAACAUAUUAUUUACACUAAAGGGUGUCUGUACCACUCGUUUUUUGCUUUGUCUGUUGAUAGGCUGUUUUAAAGGAAAUUUCCAUGUAGCUGUUGCUCCUUCAGUAUGGUGACGGUAAUACAGAAUGUUUGAAUCAACACAGGAAUAUUGACUAUGCUCGUCUUAUAACCUGUCUAAGAAAUUUCUUUUUCAACCAAGAAUAUGGUUGUAGUUGUGUUAUGUUAUCAGCCUUCGCGCCAGUUUAAUAGAGGACUUAUACAAUUGUUGUUGCAGAAAACCUUAUUAUUACUCCCGCUGCUAGUUGAUGGAUCAAAGGGAGACACCAACGCACCUCUUUGUUGAAUGCCCAUGGGUAACCGAGGUGAGAAAGCGGCUGCCAACUUGGACAGGUUUUCAAUUCAGACAGUUAGAUGUGCAGCAGACGUUAAGGUGGUUGAAAAGAAGGCAUUGGAGCAAAUUGAAAAAGGAGUUACUAGCUGCAGUUUUUGGGGCUCUGAUUUACCAUACCUGGCAGGCUAGGAACUGGAAAAUAUUCAAAGAUAUCAAUGUAAAUAGCAGCUUUGUCAUUAGUCAGAUCAAGAAAGAGAUGAGAGAUAGACUGGUUACACUACAUAGAUCAAGGAACGAAGGGAGGAACCAAUACUUAAUAGAUAGAAUUUGUAAUUAGUGCUUGUUUCUUUUUUGGUUUUAAUUGAGCCUAGGACUUCCUGGAAGGUGGUUGUAGUCCUAGGUGCUCUUUAGGUUGUAAAUAUUUGGUUGUUAAUGGUAAUAUUCACAGUUGUUACCAAAAAAAAAUAAAAAAUUGAAGUUUCUUGUUUUGCAAAAAUUUGUUUAUUAAAAAAAAAAAAUACUGUCUAUCUUUCCCUUUGUGAGGAAGGCCAUUUAAAAGUCAAUAAUCAGAACAUAGUUUAGAAACAAGAACCAGCGUCAAGUCUGGUAUGUUAUCAAUCUUCACAAUCUUGAUAGUUUUUACUAUUUUUGUUCUGAAAAACUGGUUCAAGUGUCACCAGACAACAUUGGUCAUUUAGGCAUUAUUCCAGAUGAGAAAAUGGCCCAAGACUUUGGUUCCUAAUAAUUGCAUAGUAUAUAAGUGAAGGAUACAAGCGCAGGUCCACCGAGUAUCGAACUGCACAUUAGCUGAGCCUCGAAAAUACCUCAGUUAUCAAAAGUUAAUAAUAAUAAUAGAAGUUUUGAACUGUGUGAGGAAGAACAUGAAAAUUCCGAAAUGCAAGCACUUCCGCUCAGGAAAAAGGUGAAUCAUGUCAUCACAAGUACAGUUCAACAAUGAGCUAACAGAAAUAGUAAGUUAAUUGAACAAACCGUGAAGCAUCCUUGUCUAUUUACAGAAAACCAAGAAAGGGAAGGUCCAAGCACAUGAAAAACAGGUGAUUAAUUCAACAACAAACAUAC